GCAGGCGGUUUCCUAGUGUAGACGGAAGUGAGAUGUUGAUGUCUGUGAGCCUUCCCCUCCCAACCGUGGAUGAGUUCUUCCUAAAGAGGCAAAGAGGAGAAAGGAGACUCUCUGUCGCUUGGACCUGACUGUCAAACAUCUCUCAAGAGAAACUUCAUAAUUGCACUAAUUGAACUUCUGCCUCAGCUAUGCAGCACAACACUCCCCCAUCUCCAGGACCGCAGGCUUGGCGUAUUCCCGUAAUUUUGCCAGUCUUUUGCCAAAGGGAGAACAUGAGAGAAGAGACAAGAACGUCGCCACCUAACUUGUUGUUUCUUUUGGAGCACCAAUCCUCGAUGGGAAAGCAAGAACAAAGGAAAGGUUCUCCUGCUGUUCAAGAGAGGAGCAACGGAGGGUUUUGGGAAAGAAGAAAAAUGCAGAAAAGACUGGGGAAGGAUAUGACCAGCUUGGAGGCUCAGUGCCAACAUUUCAGGCAGUUCAAUUACAAGGAGACUUUGGGGCCCCGAGAGGUGUGCAGCCGCCUCCACUCUCUCUGCCGCCUGUGGCUGAAGCCAGAGGAACAUACAAAGGCGGAGAUGCUGGACCUGGUGCUCCUGGAGCAGUUCCUGGCCGUCCUUCCUGCGGAGAUGGAGCGCUGGGUGAGGGAAUGUGGGGCAGAGACCAGUUCCCAGGCCGUGGCUUUGGCUGAAGGAUUCCUCCUGAGUCGGGAACAAGAGGAGAAGCAGCGCUUGCAGGAGGAGGUGUUUCUGGAAAAGGACACUGAUUAUCUUGAGGCGGCGGAGGGUCCAUCCGACUCUAGGCAAAGAACGCAAUGCUUGUGGAUCACGCAGGAAAAGAACACAGAGGCUGCCUCACUGGCGGAUGGAAGAAGGACACUGAUAAAUAACAGCUCGUUGCAUGUUGAUCCCCUGAGAGGAGCUUCCAGGAGGCUGGAUCAGGUGGCCUUUGAAGACGUGGCGGUGCCUUUCAGUGGGGAGGAGUGGGCCUUGCUGGAUCCAGACCAAAGGGCCCUCCAUAAGGAAGUUAUGGAGGAGAACUUGACCAUCGUAGCCUCUCUGAGUGAUGGGCGGGAGAGUGGCAAUGAAAUGCAACCAAGGAUGUCUUGGCUCCAAAGAGUCCCGUGUCAACAGGAGAAAGGGAAGCAAAUAGAAAUGGACAGUCAAAAGAAGAUGGAGAACAAAGCCUCUGUUUUGCACGCUUCGGGUGCCUUUGAAAUGUCUCCCCAUGGAAAAGCAGGCGGCAAUGGAAGGAAUAAAGGCAUUUCCAUUAAUUCAGAUAUGGAAAGAAGCUCAGUUUAUAGUAACAACAGAAUUCAUAUGCAAGCGGAAAACCUUGAUGUUUUGAUGGAUAGUGAAAAGAGGUCACACUUUGAAUCCUACCAAAGAAUCCACACACCGGCGAAACCCUACAAUUGCUUGGAGUCUGGGAUAAGUUUGAGUGACAGAACCCACCCGACUUCUGAGCAAAUCCCUCUCGAGCAGAGAGAACCAUUUACGUGCUUGGAGUGCGGAAAGAACUUCAUGAGGAAGUUGAACCUCACGCUCCACCAGAAGAUACACACAGGGGAGAAGCCAUUCACGUGCUUGGAGUGUGGGAAAAGUUUUCGUUGGAGGUCGAACUUCGCAUGCCACAAAAUGACGCACCUGGAGGGGAAGCCGUUUAAAUGCCUGAAAUGUGGGAACAGUUUCCGCUCGAGGUCAAACUUAUCAUCUCAUCAGUUAACUCACCUGGAGGAGAGGCCGUUCAAAUGCCUGGAGUGCGGGAAGAGCUUCGGUUGGAAGCAGAGGCUUGUGGAUCAUCAAAUAACUCAUGCAGCGGAAAAGCCGUUUAAGUGCCUGGAGUGCGGGAAGACUUUCAGCUGGAAGUCAGGCUUCACUCGCCAUCUGUCGAGGCACAGAGCAGCGAAAGCACUGGAAGCAGAGACUUGCGGAUUAUCGAGCACCUCAUACAAUAGAGAAACCAUUUAAAUGCCAUUUAAAUGUUGAACUAGUAGCCCUGCUGACUAUUAAGCUCUGAGUUUGUAAUCAAGUCAAACCAUUUAGACUAAUAUAUCUUAUAUUGAUGUGUAUCUUUACCAGAGUUUUAACCCAAAUCAGCACUCAGCCUGUAAUACCUUGUUUCAAAUCAACUUGUGAUGGAUUUUACUGUUACAAACAGCUAUUAAAAUUAUGCUUCCUUUUGCUUUUUUAAAAAUUCA